AUCCCAGCCCCGGCACGGAGCGAGGGGGGCUCUCCACACCCACCCAGAAACACCCAGGGGUCAAAACCAUCCCCCCCGACCGCUGCAGGAACCAAGGUGAAGGUUUGGGGAGGUGCUGGAGGCACUUCCCAGCACCGCAUUUCGGCAGGGAAGGCAGGAGGGAGGUUUUGGGCAGGCAGCUGCCUUGCCAUGUAAUUGGGAUUUUGGGGGAGAGAGAAAAAAAAAAAAAUCCUCCCGAAUAUGCAAAGCGAUGGAGGCAGCAAAAAGAAGGUUUGAGGAGUGAAAGGUCCGGCUGCUGUGGGUCAGGCAGACACACGUGUAGGGGCUCGGUGGGGUGAGCAGGGCCGGGCACCGAUGGGGCAAAAGGAGGGGGCGACCCCGAGUGAAGCCAGGCAGGAAGCACAGGAAAACCUC